CCUAACACAUAGCAAGUCGAACGAAGCUAAGAUGCGGAAGUUUCGGAUGGAAGUGAACUUAGCUUAGUGGCGAACAGGUGAGUAACACGUGAGUAACCUGCCCUUCAGUGGGGGGACAACAGUUGGAAACGACUAGCUAAUACCGCAUAAGACCACAGUGCCACAUGGCACAGUGAUCAAAGGAUUAAUUUUUCGCUGAAGGAUGGACUCGCGUCUGAUUAGCUAGAUGGUGAGGUAACGGCCCACCAUGGCAACGAUCAGUAGCCGGACUGAGAGGUUGAUCGGCCACAUUGGGACUGAGACACGGCCCAGACUCCUACGGGAGGCAGCAGUGGGGGAUAUUGCACAAUGGAGGAAACUCUGAAUGCAGCGACGCCGCGUGAGGGAAGAAGGUUUUCGGAUUGUAAACCUCUGUCUUCGGGGACGAGACAAAUGACGGUACUCGAGGAGGAAGCCACGGCUAACUACGUGCCAGCCGCUGC
rnacentral:rRNA from 1 species